UCUCUCGUAGCUCAGUUGGUUAGAGCACCAGACUGUUAAUCUGGGUGUCGCAGGUUCGACUCCUGCCGAGAGAG
rnacentral:tRNA from 1 species